GUGCUUGCUUUGGCAACACAUAUACUAAAAUUGAAAUGAUACAAAGAAGAUUAGCGUCCCUAUGUAAGGAUGACAUGCGAAUUCAUGAAGCAGAAUUACCUUUG